CCAGUUGGCCGGGCAGCCGCCUUCCGCAAGCGCCGAAAGGCCGCGGGGGGAGGAAAGUCCGGGCUCCACGGAAACACGGUGCCGGAUAACGUCCGGCGGGGGCGACCCCAGGGAAAGUGCCACAGAGAGCAGACCGCCUUCGCAUGCGAGGGUAAGGGUGAAAGGGUGGGGUAAGAGCCCACCGCGGACAUGGCGACAUGGACGGCACGGCAAACCCCACCGGGAGCAAGACCGAAUAGGGAUGACGCGAGCGGCGCAAGCCGCUCAGCCCGUUUCCGGGCCGGUCAUCCGGGUGGGUUGCAAGAGGCCGGGCGCAAGUCCGGUCCCAGAUGAAUGGCUGCCACGUUCCGGCCUCGGCCGGAGCCAUACAGAACCCGGCUUACAGGCCAACUGGCGAU
rnacentral:RNase_P_RNA from 1 species